UUCGCAAUGCCCGAAAGGGUGACGAAGCGACGCCGCGUGAGCGAAGAAGGCCUUAGGGUUGUAAAGCUCUGUCGAGGGUUAUGAAAUAUAGAUAGGUUAAUACCUUAUCUAUUUGACAAAGGCCCAAAAGGAAGCCACGGCUAACUCUGUGCCAGCAGCCGCGGUAAUACAGAGGUGGCAAGCGUUGUUCGGAAUUAUUGGGCGUAAAGAGCACGUAGGUGGUUUUGUAAGUCAGGUGUGAAAGCCUUCUGUUCAAAGGAAGAACGGCAUCUGAAACUGCGAAUCUUGAGUGUAGGAGGGGAGAGUGGAACUUCUGGUGGAGCGGUGAAAUGCGUAGAUAUCAGAAGGAACGUCGGCGGCGAAAGCGACUCUCUGGCCUAUUACUGACACUGAGGUGCGAAAGUUAGGGGAGCAAACGGGAUUAGAUACCCCGGUAGUCCUAACCGUAAACGAUGGGCACUAAGUAGAGGGGUUUU
rnacentral:rRNA from 1 species